GCUUCACCUUCACUGAGAAGAAAGCAGAGGUGGGCAGCUUCUUUCACAUGUCUUUUUCGCCAUCAAAGAAGUUGCUGUUGGAAUCAAUUGAAACUGCUGACUGAAGCAAGCUGACCACAGCUGCUGACCACAGCUGCCGUCCCCAAUGCGGUCGAAAGCUACAAAGGAGUUUCACAGAAGGUCCCCUGAGGUGCAGUCAUUGGUGUAGAGGGAGAAGAGCAGUGUGGAGAGAACACACCCUUGGGGGGCACCAGUGCUGAUUGUCCAGGUGCUGGAUGUGAUGCUCCCCAGCCUGACCUGCUGUCUCCUGUCACUCCGGAAGUUGGUAAUCCACUGACAGGUGGAGGCCGGCACUGUGAGCUGGGUGAGUUUCUGGUGCAGGAUGUCUGGGAUGAUGGUGUUGAAAGCUGAGCUGAAGUCCACAAACAGGAUCUUAGCAUAGGUCCUUGGGGAGUUGAGGUGAUGCAGGAUGUAGUUCAGACGCAUGUUGACUGCAUCAUCCACCGACCUGUUGGCCUGGUAGGCAAACUGCAGGGGAUCCAGCAGGGGGCCUGUGAUGUCCUUCAGGUGGCUCAAAACCAGUCUCUCAAAGGACUUCAUGACCACAGACGUCAGUGCGACGGGUAUGUAGUCAUUGAGUCCUGUGAUGGCGGGUCUCUUUGGGACUGGGAUGAUGGUGGAGCUUCUGAAGCAUGAGGGCACUUCACACAGCUCCAGUGAUGUGUUGAAGAUCUGCGUGAAGAUGGGGGCCAGCUGCUCAGCACAGACUCUCAGGCAGGAUAGGGACACACCAUCUGGUCCUGGAGCCUUCCUGAUCCUUUUUAUUCACCGCGGGAGUUCUCCUCCUUUGUUCUGGUGGGCUGGAUUAAAAAAAAACUAGGUUAGGAGGGAAACA